CUCGAAACAAUACAAAAUCACAAUAACAAAGCAAUUACGUACAUGAUUGACAGUUACUACAACCUAUUUAUAGCUAAUUAUAGCAUAAUGUCUCUGUCUGCUAAUGUAAACGAUAUAUUAAAAUGUUAAUAAUUACUCUGUUCAUAACACUCCCCAGGGUUGAGCCGUAUACAGUGCUCAACAAUACUCCCCAGAAUAAUCGUAAACUAGAAAUAUGAAAGUUUCACGAACUACUGUCUGUCUAACUGUUCGCAUAAUUGGUUUCUCAAAUAAUUAAUUAACGGAUAAUGUUUAUGUCUUCCUUUGAAAUUCUUUCA